AUAUGUCUUAUUUGGAAAAAAAAAGGCAUUGUUUUUCCAGAGUUUGGGUGUGCUUAUGAGGUAGCAAGUACAUACUUUUUGACAGUCGAGGCUUCUGGUGAGCUGUCGGAAGAGUCUUAUCGGUUGAUCCAACAGAAGAUGUGUGAUCAGGGAGCAACCUACGGUGUCAAGAAUAUAAAACAAAAGAUCAGAAACACCAGAAAAUUGUGGGCUAAAAUGAGAUCGAGAGAUUCUCAGGAUUACAAUUUGAGGUGUCGACAUCAUCUGGAUUUACUUGACAGAUUAUUUGACCAGGCUGGUAGAGCUCAAUUAAGCAAGGAUGACAGUACUCAAUCAGAUGCUGAGAUAAAGACAUGCAAUCAAGUAGAUGAAGUGGAAAGUGCUGCACCUGAAUUAAAGAGGGAAAAGGUAAGCUUGCGAUUUGCAAUUCCAGUUUAA
rnacentral:lncRNA from 1 species